GCUUAACGCGAAGAACCUUACCAAGGCUUGACAUACACGAGAACGGGCCAGAAAUGGUCAACUCUUUGGACACUCGUGAACAGGUGGUGCAUGGUUGUCGUCAGCUCGUGUCGUGAGAUGUUGGGUUAAGUCCCGCAACGAGCGCAACCCUCGUCCUAUGUUGCCAGCACGUAAUGGUGGGAACUCAUGGGAGACUGCCGUGGUCAACACGGAGGAAGGUGGGGAUGACGUCAAAUCAUCAUGCCCCUUAUGUCUUGGGCUUCACGCAUGCUACAAUGGCCGGUACAAAGGGCUGCAAUACCGCAAGGUGGAGCGAAUCCCAAAAAGCCGGUCUCAGUUCGGAUUGGGGUCUGCAACUCGACCCCAUGAAGUUGGAGUCGCUAGUAAUCGUAGAUCAGCAACGCUACGGUGAAUACGUUCCCGGGUCUUGUACACACCG
rnacentral:rRNA from 1 species